rnacentral:rRNA from 1 species
UACGAAGGGUGCUAGCGUUGUUCGGAAUCACUGGGCGUAAAGCGCGCGUAGGCGGCCAAUCAAGUCAGGGGUGAAAUGCCACGGCUCAACCGUGGAACUGCCUUUGAAACUGAUUGGCUGGAAGAUGAGAGGGGAUAGCGGAAUUUCUGGUGUAGAGGUGAAAUUCGUAGAUACCAGAAGGAACACCGGUGGCGAAGGCGGCUAUCUGGCUCAUUCUUGACGCUCUGGCGCGAAAGCGUGGGGAGCAAACAGG